UCGACCUCAGAAGGUUAAGCUAAAGUACUCACCGUAAACGGAGCGCUAGACGUUCAGCGGGACCUAUUGCCUGAUGCAGUUUGGUGUUCUGCCUCUCAAUCAGUGGAGUGACCGUGGUGAGCAAUCAAUUGAAGUCUGCGCUACUGAGCCGAAAGUACUCCCUAUGGUCGAGUCUCAUCCAGCCCAAGCUCCUGGAUCAAGGAAUGAAACACUCCCCGCUCGUUCGUUUCAGGAACUUUCUUCAUCGUCGCAACAGACACAGGAUGCUUUUAUCCAAAGUGAUUUAAGCAACCAGGAGAAAAGAGUCUUGCUCAAGGACACAACAGUGUUGACGGCUGCGGACAAAAAUUAGUUGUCGUGUUCAUGAAGUGAAGGCACAUGAAUGAUCGAAGCAGACACAGCAGCAGCCAGAUUUGGAGAUGCAUUGCAUUUAUUGUACAAAAUAGUGAAUUCUUCCUAAAACAAAUAAUAUAAAAUAUAUUCAAAUGUAUAAAUAGCAUAAAAAAACACAAAUAAGAUCAACAAUGCAGUGCACUUCCACAAUCUCUUAAAAACAAGUAAUAAAAUACAAAUAUCAGAUUACAAAAUAAAUAAAUUAGACCAAAAUAAGUUUGCUCACGUACAUGCCAUAACAAACUGAAAAGUCCUAAACGACAUUUUACAACAUUCUACAUUUUAAACAUAAUCUACAAUCAAAUUUCAGUCUGUAAAUCAAUCCAAUAAUAUAUAAUAAAAUAUAAUUUAAGUCUGGCCCACCAUUAUGGCUUAGAACUAACAGAAAACAAGUUAAACUUCAAACUAACUAAAUGUGAUUCAGGCCAAAAUGCUGGUAGGGUUACACAUACAGGGCGCUGCACAAGAUCCCAGGCCCUAUGCAUAGGUAGUCCUGAUGGGCCCCCAUGCCCCCCCAUAUACUAUUUUAGUUUUUUUAAUCCCUACGUGAACAAACUGCGUACUGUAUGAUAACCAAACAAGACUUGAUUCAGUCAUAUAUUAUAUGCAGAAUGAACAAGACAAAGGGAACAGAUAGCUUAUAUGACUUUGGAGUGUUCUCAGUAAAUGCCACUGAAGGUAGCCUUAUAUUAAUGCCAUCCAUGCUUAAGUCAUCAUCUCAGACUUUCUUAUCAUAGUCUGGUACAUAGUCUCAAUUUUAAUUGAGAGAGAACAUUUUUUUUUUUUACGCUACAUUACUUCAAACUAAUAUAUUACAUACAGUGGGUAAGGAAUGUAUUCAGACCCCCUUAAAUUUCACACUUUUUUAUAUUGCAGCCAUUUGCUAAAAUCAUUUAAGUUAAUUUUUUUCCCUCAUUA